AGGCGAGAGAAGACAGAGAGGACUGAGGACUAAAACGAAAAUACUCUGCCUGCCAAAAAAGGCAGACGAUCCAGUGGCCCCAGGUUUACACACCAUCUGCUGGUUUGAGGCAGACUGACCGCUGGGGAGAUGGACCUCACCUGGCACCAUUACUCUGGAUGUAACAGCUCGACUCUCCUGUCAAUCAAAACAUCAAUGACUCGAGAAGCGGACAGCGAGGUUUCUGGUGCCUGGCUGGAGACGAGAUUCUGAUUAUUCAAGAGCCAAAACAAAACGUCAGAAUAAAUAGUUAGAAGGCAGAUUUGUUUUCUAUUUGUUGUUGUUUUCAUUAUUAAUGCUCCAUAACACAAAAUUCAUCAGUGCUGUAACUCUUGAGUUGAAUAAAAUGUUCUUCUUUCAAUCUGUUAUUUCUGGAGUCUUUUUAUU